GUUAAACAAGUGCUUGAAGGCAGUAUGCUUGGUAAAAGUCAUCGCCAUUCUCUAAUCUUGAGUACCCAGGGACACGAUACACUGCGGAAGGCUGCAGGGACCUCUGCCCAGGAAAGCCAGGAGCCAGAAAAACUUCAUCUCUUUUACAAGAAACAUUGAGAUUCCUGUAAAAUUAAGAAAUCACACAAUUUGAUGGUCUACAUUAUCUAAAGCAAAUGAGACUUCUAUUUGGAACAAAGACUACCUUGUUGGGAAAUGAGUCUGCAAGUUAAAGUGUUUUCUGGAUCCAGUAUCUGCCGGAGGAGCCCCACCUUCUGCUACUAUUAUGUUCUUCAGAUGAGUAGAAGAGAGUGGGGAGGGAGAGAGCAGGAAGAAGAAAGGAAGAAUAAUGUCUUGAAAUUGUUUUCUAAGGAUAAUGGUCUCCAGCUUCGUCAAUGUUCCUGCAAAGGACAUGAUGCUGACUUUGAAGAUGCAAGCUUCCACAUCUACAGCCUCAAGGAAACAAAUUCAGCCAACCAACUGAGGGAGCUUUCCUUGUCCUGCCUCAAGAUGAGAUCACAGUCUGCCCAACACCAUGAUUUAGGCCUUGUGACACCUGGUAUGGAAGACCCAGUUAAGUUCUCUCCAAACUCUUGACCCACAGAACCUGUGAGAAAAUAUAUGGAUAUUAUUUUAAACUGCUAAAUUUGUAGUAAUUUGUUAUGCAGCAAUAAAAAAAACUAAUGCAAGGAGAUA
rnacentral:lncRNA from 1 species